rnacentral:lncRNA from 1 species
CAAACAAUUUCUCUCUUCCUUAAAUGUUCUGUUGACAUAAGCUAUCGUUCUUGUUUAACAUAAAACUACUAUUAAUUCCACAAAACUGACAUCUGUAUUCAAUGUGUAGUUUUCUCCUAACUUUGAUAAUUGUAAUAUUGGAGCCAAAAGAAGUCUCUUAUAAGAUCAAAACAGCUUUUUUAUAUUCUUCUGACCAUUUCCACCUGAUGUUUUUAAAUCAUUAAGACUGGACUCGCCAUUAAACUUUUGUAACAGAUUCAGUGAAGCACUAAAUAUUAUGAAUGACAGAGUUUGAAUUAGUAGCAAUUUCUUGUUGGAUAGGAGUAAUUUCUGAAGGGGAUGGAGAUUAACUGACACCAUCAGAUUCUUCAUUCGUAGCUGGUUCUUGAACAAAAGUAUUACUUGCUGCACUUAAUUCAGUCAAGAUGCCUAUUCUUUUCAUCAGUAACUCUGUCUGUUUCAUCAUCAGUUUGUAUUUGUUUCAGGGAAUUGUCAGUAUCUUCUGCUAUAUCAAUAAACUUAAUAAACCGAUUGAGGUGUUAUUGGGGGGGAAAAACAACAAUCACCAAUUAAAAAACCCAAUAAACAGCUUAGUUUCUGUUCAAGCACCAAUUACAAAAACUUUCACACACGUUUGCAACUUUCAAUAACUAUCAACAUCUAAUGUGUGGAUCCAAUAGAUGAUUAGAACAACAGGCGUUAGCCUACCGUGGUUAUGUGGUUGACAUGUGAAUAAAAACAGCAAAGUAAAAGUUGUACUGACACAAGACAGAGACAAUUAUGGUUUACUGAAAACUUGGGAUCUUUAUUGAAAGAUAUAUAUAUAUAUGUAUAUGUAUCACUUACAUACACAACCAGAGGAUAAAUACCUGUAAUUA